UGGGGAAUAUUGCACAAUGGGCGCAAGCCUGAUGCAGCCAUGCCGCGUGUGUGAAGAAGGCCUUCGGGUUGUAAAGCACUUUCAGCGAGGAGGAAGGUGGUGGACUUAAUACGUUCAUCAAUUGACGUUACUCGCAGAAGAAGCACCGGCUAACUCCGUGCCAGCAGCCGCGGUAAUACGGAGGGUGCAAGCGUUAAUCGGAAUUACUGGGCGUAAAGCGCACGCAGGCGGUUUGUUAAGUCAGAUGUGAAAUCCCCGGGCUCAACCUGGGAACUGCAUUUGAAACUGGCAAGCUAGAGUCUCGUAGAGGGGGGUAGAAUUCCAGGUGUAGCGGUGAAAUGCGUAGAGAUCUGGAGGAAUACCGGUGGCGAAGGCGGCCCCCUGGACGAAGACUGACGCUCAGGUGCGAAAGCGUGGGAAGCAAACAGGAUUAGAUACCCUGGUAGUCCACGCUGUAAACGAUGUCGAUUUGGAGGUUGUGCCCUUGAGGCGUGGCUUCCGGAGCUAACGCGUUAAAUCGACCGCCU
rnacentral:rRNA from 1 species